CCCUUCUGCCAGGCACACCUGCACCUCCUAAAGCUGCAAUCAACAACUGUACUUAAGGACCAGCCUGAGACUUCACUCCUCGCCAGAUUGUCUGCUAUCUUUCUGUUGUCUUCCUGUUUCCAGUUUAAUCUGGCCUGGCUCAGCCUGUUCAACACCUGAUUCCUCGAAGCUGGUAUUCCUCCUGUAUGAAACCUCCAGCCUUCGAUCACCCCGCCUGCCCUGCUGGACCCUCCUGCUCCUCGGACCUAGUAACAGACCCGUAAGGACAGACUCGCUCAGGACACUUCCCGUCUCUGCAACGACAGAUCGCCAUUCCACACCCAAGGAUUAAAUCUCUACCAGUAUCAACACUCUCCCCCUGCCGUGACGUCCUGGUAUGACCUUCCCCGUAAUUACAUGUUACAAGUUAUUGUUGUAAAU